GGAGGAGUGUCCGAGCGGCUUAUGGUGACGGUCUUGAAAACCGUUGUGCAGCGAUGUACCGGGGGUUCGAAUCCCUCCUCCUCCG
rnacentral:tRNA from 3 species